rnacentral:lncRNA from 12 species
GAAGCUCAUUAGAAACUGAUUUGGAACACUAUGCAAAAGCAGGAACUCUGUGUGUCAUAUAAAUAUUGCUCCACACACAGGAGACACAAUACUUUAAAAAGAAUAUUGUGGCAAACAAAAGAAUCUGUUCUACUUUCACUUUCAUUUUAGCGUGAUUUUGGGUGGAGUUUGUCAAUUAACGGCGGAAGGGAGUUGUAUUUAAAGGGAGCGUGUCGUACCUGAAAAAGAGGCGNUUAUUCAGCAAGUUGUCUCCAACUUAUUCCAGUGGUUAUUUUUAAACAGGAGCUGUGAGAAUUAUCUGGAACACAGUAUUGGAAUUUGGCAAAAAGAAGAGGCAGCAUAUUUAAGUUAGCAGAGUUUCAAAACAGUGUUUGUGUCACAAUGCACCUACGAAGCAUUAAAAUGCUGCCUAGAGAGGACGCUCACUUGUUUUUGGAACUGAGCUUGUGAUUCCAAACACAGGAUGUUAUGUAAGAUUAAUAAAAUGGAGAUGUUUGUUGACCUUCAAAAUAUUUAGGAAUUAUGUAAUGUUGGUCAUGCUGUGUGCAGUUCCACCCUGUGCUUGUGCCCUCUACUUAUGCGGCUGUGGAGAAUGUGAGGUAUGUGUGUCGCAGUUUUAAGGGAGUGUAAAAAGCAGCCACAUCUUCUGCAUAUGUGUGCUUCAUCCGCACUUUGGCUUUGGGGGAAAGCACCUGCUGAACGAUUACUGCUUUGUCUCCACAGCAACUCUGCUGUGGGGUUUAUUGUCCAGAUGGAUGCACUGAAGCCAAGGGAACCUGCAACAUGCUUCACAGAUUUCAACACUUGCGUUCACCCAUAAAAGCAGAACAGCUCAUUUAGAGAGGUGACCAUAGGGGAUGCAAGGUAGAACGCUGAUACUUCCCUGUUGACUCCAGCCCUAGGUCUUGCGGAUCUCAGGAUAAUUUACAUUCAGCAGUACACGUGUACGGGUUUACCAUUGCUAUGGCUUCCAGAGGACACUAAUGUUUCAGUGGGGCCUCAAAACGAUUCUGACAGAUUGAAGCAUUCAAACUGUUCACUUUUUGAAAGGAAUGACUGAUGCCAAUAGGACAUUUAGGAGUAUAGCUAUUCAAAUAAUAAUAAUAAUGUUGCAUUUUUUAUUUUUUAUGCUUCCUUUGGAAGCUUGAAAUUGCUUAAAGCUGUUUGAAGUUGUCUGUUAAUAUUGUGAAAAUUUCAUAUGAAGCAUUUUAUGGCUGAAAUGUGAUGAUAACCAAGGGAAAGUGAGAAAAGAAAACAGGCUUGACAAAAAAAAAAAAAACUUGACAAACUGCCCCAGAGAACCCGGAAAAAAGGUCUCCCAUCACUCAUCUGGUGGGAUUAAGACUGAUUUCUCCAAGGGUUUGGUGACGAUGGGAAGUUUCGAGUCAGAGCGUCAUCAGAGAAAGUGAAAUUCCUGGUUUACGUAUUUUGGUUCAGGCUUUCCGAAGAUGUUGUGUUAUGAACUUUCUAGUUGUGUUUGAUACCUGUCCAUCAGGGGCUGAACUGAGCUUUAGCGUCACUCUGGAUCUAGUGAGAUUUAAAAACUGUAAUUUUAGCCAGUGUCUGGU